GAACGUGUUUGUUCUUUUCCCGGCUAUGCCGCCUCCUGUGGUGCUCUUCUCCUCCCGGACACCCAUCCUUCUCAUCCCAGACUCCGAUCCGCCGGCGGUGGAACUGGACUUCCCCUGCGUCCUAGUGCUUCUUCGUUCGAGAUCGAGCGGCCUCGAUCGGGGCUAAGGCGGCGGAUCGAUACGCGACGCCGAACGAGAGUGCCCAAAGGAACCUCGCGGGCUUAAAGGUGAGCUAGGAAUUAUUUGGGUCAGAGUCAUCCAGCUUUAGGCCAGUGAGAUCUCAUUAGCAUCAAGUCGUGACUCAUGACAACUACUUCCAUCAACAAACCAUACAAUCUUUGAUAUGACCGUGCAUUUACUCAGUGUAAUACAUGGGGCAUGCAUAGAGAGCUUUCAAUCAUGCAUGACACACAUGAUUUCAGCUUUGCGUCUAAAACAUGACUCCAUGCGCAUCAAGAAAAUCCACCAACAACUGCAGUCUACAGCGACGUAUUACUUGCUGCCGAAACCCAGUGGCUGUCAGGGAAUAAAAAUAGCAAGUGUUUUAGUAGCAAUUGCAAAAAUCUAACAUGUACCAAAAGGAAAUAUCCCAAUCUACUAAGUAUGAGGAGGCCAAGACUUGCAUCACCGAAAGUGUAGAGAUCAGAUUCUUAACUUGGGUUGUCCUCUUCUUUCAAAAAGUAUACCUGUUCAUGAUCGACGUCAGAGGAGGGGAAAAGGAAGUCGACGACGGAGUGACGGUCUUUAUACAAGGCUGCAUGGAAGAAAGUUGUACGUGCGUAUCUUUAUAUCGACGACGGAAAUCGAGAAAGGAAGAAGGCAAAGCGGCGGGUGGAGUCCAAGCAUCGGUGGCCGUCUCAGUUUUGAUUUCCCUGACAGCUGUCCACAUGGAGUCGGUGGGGGCCCGCAGCCCAACAGCGCACGCGUCACGGUUGGCUGCCUAUCGCGGCCAGUCGUUCCCGCGUCCAAAUUGUCUCCCACCGUCUUUGCCUCGGCUCCAUCCGACGGUCAGAGGUUUCUAGCUCGAUCCGACGGGCAGUGUCGAUCGAGGCCAAACGAGUCCGGACGCCGUGGAAGGGCGCUCUUGUCCGGUUCUGAUUGACCCCAGUAUUACCAGUGCGCUGA